UACGUAGGGCGCAAGCGUUUGUCCGGAAUUAUUGGGCGUAAAGAGCUCGUAGGCGGUUUGUCGCGUCUGCUGUGAAAACCUAAGGCUCAACCUUGGGCUUGCAGUGGGUACGGGCAGACUAGAGUGUGGUAGGGGAGACUGGAAUUCCUGGUGUAGCGGUGAAAUGCGCAGAUAUCAGGAAGAACACCAGCGGCGAAGGCGGCACUCUGGGCCGGUACUGACGCUGAGGAGCGAAAGCGUGGGUAGCAAACAGG
rnacentral:rRNA from 1 species